rnacentral:rRNA from 1 species
GAUGAACGCUGGCGGCAGGCCUAAAACAUGCAAGUCGAACGGAUCCUUCGGGAUUAGUGGCGGACGGGUGAGUAACACGUGGGAACGUGCCUUUAGGUUCGGAACAACUCAGGGAAACUUGAGCUAAUACCGAAUGUGCCCUUCGGGGGAAAGGAUUUAUCGCCUUUAGAGCGGCCCGCGUCUGAUUAGCUUGUUGGUGAGGUAAAGGCUCACCAAGGCGACGAUCAGUAGCUGGUCUGAGAGGAUGAUCAGCCACACUGGGACUGAGACACGGCCCAGACUCCUACGGGAGGCAGCAGUUAGGAAUCUUGCGCAAUGGGGGAAACCCUGACGCAGCCAUGCCGCGUGAAUGAUGAAGGUCUUAGGAUUGUAAAAUUCUUUCAGCGGGGACGAUAAUGACGGUACCCGCAGAAGAAGCCCCGGCUAACUUCGUGCCAGCAGCCGCGGUAAUGUAGAUAAGU